GGAAGCGGCGGCGGCGGAAGCGGCGGCGGAAGCGGCGGGAGCAGCGGGAGCGGGCGGAGCGAGCGGAGCCAUGUCGGGCCGGGAAGGCGGCAAGAAGAAGCCGCUGAAGCAGCCGAAGAAGCAGACGAAGGACCUGGAUGAGACGGAUCUGGCAUUCAAACAAAAACAGAAGGAGGAGCAAAAGAAACUUGAGGAGAUGAAAGCAAAAGCUGCUGGAAAAGGGCCCCUGGCCAGUGGUGGAAUAAAGAAGUCUGGCAAAAAGUAGCUUGAUCAAACUGCAGGGUAAGAAGUGAUCAAGUUACUCAAUGGACCUGCAGACUUCAGAGAGUCUUGAAAACACUCUGUCAUUUGGGAAACAUUGUACAUUUUGUUUAGUCACAAUAAAUCCUUUUUGUUAAGAUGUGA